rnacentral:rRNA from 1 species
UACGAACCGUCCAAACGUUAUUCGGAAUUACUGGGCGUAAAGCGCGUGUAGGCGGUUUGCCAAGUCGGGUGUGAAAGCCUUGGGCUUAACCCAAGAAAUGCACUCGGUACUGGCAGACUAGAGGACCGGAGAGGAUAGUGGAAUUCCCAGUGUAGUGGUGAAAUACGUAGAGAUUGGGAAGAACACCAGUGGCGAAGGCGGCUAUCUGGACGGUUUCUGACGCUAAGACGCGAAAGCGUGGGGAGCAAACAGG